rnacentral:tRNA from 1 species
ACUCAGCUGACUCAGUUGGAAGAAUGUGAGACUUCUGAUCUCAGGGUUGUGAGUUUGAGCCCUACUUUGAGUG